CUGUAGAGAUACGGGGGUGCCUUCGGGAACUGUGAGACAGGUGCUGCAUGGCUGUCGUCAGCUCGUGUUGUGAAAUGUUGGGUUAAGUCCCGCAACGAGCGCAACCCUUAUCCUUUGUUGCCAGCGGUCCGGCCGGGAACUCAAAGGAGACUGCCAGUGAUAAACUGGAGGAAGGUGGGGAUGAGGUCAAGUCAUCAUGGCCCUUACGACCAGGGCUACACACGUGCUACAAUGGCGCAUACAAAGAGAAGCGACCUCGCGAGAGCAAGCGGAUCUCAUAAAGUGCGUCGUAGUCCGGAUUGGAGUCUGCAACUCGACUCCAUGAAGUCGGAAUCGCUAGUAAUCGUGGAUCAGAAUGCCACGGUGAAUACGUUCCCGGGCCUUGUACACACCGCCCGUCACACCAUGGGAGUGGGUUGCAAAAGAAGUAGGUAGCUUAACCUUCGGGAGGGCGCUUACCACUUUGUGAUUCAUGACUGGGGUGAAGUCGUAACAAGGUAACCGUAGGGGAACCUGCGGUUGGAUCACCUCCUUACCUUAAAGAAGC
rnacentral:rRNA from 1 species